CGGGAUCACUUUUUGUGCAGUCUAUAAUGCAGUCGAGCGAACAGACAAGGAGCUUGCUCCUUUGACGUUAGCGGCGGACGGGUGAGUAACACGUGGGUAACCUACCUAUAAGACUGGGAUAACUUCGGGAAACCGGAGCUAAUACCGGAUAAUAUUUCGAACCGCAUGGUUCGAUAGUGAAAGAUGGUUUUGCUAUCACUUAUAGAUGGACCCGCGCCGUAUUAGCUAGUUGGUAAGGUAACGGCUUACCAAGGCGACGAUACGUAGCCGACCUGAGAGGGUGAUCGGCCACACUGGAACUGAGACACGGUCCAGACUCCUACGGGAGGCAGCAGUAGGGAAUCUUCCGCAAUGGGCGAAAGCCUGACGGAGCAACGCCGCGUGAGUGAUGAAGGUCUUCGGAUCGUAAAACUCUGUUAUUAGGGAAGAACAUACGUGUAAGUAACUAUGCACGUCUUGACGGUACCUAAUCAGAAAGCCACGGCUAACUACGUGCCAGCAGCCGCGGUAAUACGUAGGUGGCAAGCGUUAUCCGGAAUUAUUGGGCGUAAAGCGCGCGUAGGCGGUUUUUUAAGUCUGAUGUGAAAGCCCACGGCUCAACCGUGGAGGGUCAUUGGAAACUGUAAAACUUGAGUGCAGAAGAGGAAAGUGGAAUUCCAUGUGUAGCGGUGAAAUGCGCAGAGAUAUGGAGGAACACCAGUGGCGAAGGCGACUUUCUGGUCUGUAACUGACGCUGAUGUGCGAAAGCGUGGGGAUCAAACAGGAUUAGAUACCCUGGUAGUCCACGCCGUAAACGAUGAGUGCUAAGUGUUAGGGGGUUUCCGCCCCUUAGUGCUGCAGCUAACGCAUUAAGCACUCCGCCUGGGGAGUACGACCGCAAGGUUGAAACUCAAAGGAAUUGACGGGGACCCGCACAAGCGGUGAGCAUGUGUUUAAUUCGAGCAACGCGAAGAACCUUACCAAAUCUUGAACAUCUUGACACUCUAGAGAUAGAGCUUCCCUUUCGGGACAAAAGGACAAGUGUGCAUGGUUGUCGUCAGCUCAUGUCGGAGAAUGUUGAUAAGUCCCGCACGGCGCCAACCUAGCUAGUGCCAUCAUAAGUUGCACCCUAGUGACUGCCGGGUACAAACGAGAAGUUGUAUGACCCUCAAUCCUAUGCUCAGAAUUGGCCUACACACCGUGUCUACAAGUGGC
rnacentral:rRNA from 1 species